GUGAACGCUGGCGGUCGGCCUAACACAUGCAAGUCGAACGGCAGCACAGUAAGAGCUUGCUCUUUCGGGUGGCGAGUGGCGGACGGGUGAGGAAUACAUCGGAAUCUACUUUUUCGUGGGGGAUAACGUAGGGAAACUUACGCUAAUACCGCAUACGACUUACGGGUGAAAGCAGGGGAUCUUCGGACCUUGCGCGAUUGAAUGAGCCGAUGUCGGAUUAGCUAGUUGGCGGGGUAAAGGCCCACCAAGGCGACGAUCCGUAGCUGGUCUGAGAGGAUGAUCAGCCACACUGGAACUGAGACACGGUCCAGACUCCUACGGGAGGCAGCAGUGGGGAAUAUUGGGCAAUGGGCGCAAGCCUGAUCCAGCCAUACCGCGUGAGUGAAGAAGGCCUUCGGGUUGUAAAGCCCUUUUGUUGGGAAAGAAAAGCAGCAGGUUAAUACCCCGCUGUUCUGACGGUACCCAAAGAAUAAGCACCGGCUAACUUCGUG
rnacentral:rRNA from 1 species